UAAGCGGAGGAAAAGAAACUAACAAGGAUUCCCCUAGUAACUGCGAGUGAAGCGGGAAAAGCUCAANUUUAAAAUCUGGUGGUCUUUGGCCAUNCGAGUUGUAAUCUAGAGAAGCGUCUUCCGCGCUGGACCGUGCACAAGUCUCCUGGAACGGAGCGUCGUAGAGGGUGAGAAUCCCGUCUUUGGCAUGGACACACCAGGGCUUUUGUGAUGCGCUCUCGAAGAGUCGAGUUGUUUGGGAAUGCAGCUCAAAAUGGGUGGUGAACUCCAUCUAAAGCUAAAUAUUGGCGAGAGACCGAUAGCGAACAAGUACCGUGAGGGAAAGAUGAAAAGCACUUUGGAAAGAGAGUGAAACAGUACGUGAAAUUGUUGAAAGGGAAACGCUUGAAGUCAGUCGCGUCGACCGAGACUCAGCCUCGCCUCGGCUUGGUGUACUUCUCGGCCCGACGGGUCAGCAUCAAUUUCGCCUCUUGGAUAAUGGCGAGGGAAACGUGACACCUUUACGGUGUGUUAUAGUCUCUCGUCGCAUGCAAGGGUCGGGAUUGAGGGACUCAGCACGCGCCUUUGGGCGUCGGGGCUUUGCCUACGAUACGUGCUUAGGAUGUUGGCGUAAUGGCUUUAAACGACC
rnacentral:rRNA from 1 species